ensembl:misc_RNA Metazoa_SRP Metazoan signal recognition particle RNA
GCCGGGCACGAUGGCACCUGCCCGUAGUCCCAGCUACUCAGGAGGCUGAGGUGGGAGGAUCACUUGAGCCCAGGAGUUCAGGGCUGUAGUGCGCUAUGCCGAUCGGUGUCUGCACUAAGUUCGGCAUCAAUAUGGUGACCUCCUGGGAGCCAGGGACCACCAGGUUGCCUAAGGAUGGGUGAAUCGGCCCAGGUCGGAAACAGAGCAGGUCAAAACUCCCGUGCUGAUCAGUAGUGGGAUCACGCCUGUGAAUAGCCACUGCACUCCAGCCUGGGCAACAUAGUGAGACCCCGUCUCUU